rnacentral:rRNA from 1 species
GAGUUUGAUCAUGGCUCAGAUUGAACGCUGGCGGCAGGCCUAACACAUGCAAGUCGAACGGUAACAGGAAACAGCUUGCUGUUUCGCUGACGAGUGGCGGACGGGUGAGUAAUGUCUGGGAAACUGCCUGAUGGAGGGGGAUAACUACUGGAAACGGUAGCUAAUACCGCAUAACGUCGCAAGACCAAAGAGGGGGACCUUCGGGCCUCUUGCCAUCGGAUGUGCCCAGAUGGGAUUAGCUUGUUGUGGGUAACGGCUCACCAAGGCGACGAUCCCUAGCUGGUCUGAGAGGAUGACCAGCCACACUGGAACUGAGACACGGUCCAGACUCCUACGGGAGGCAGCAGUGGGGAAUAUUGCACAAUGGGCGCAAGCCUGAUGCAGCCAUGCCGCGUGUAUGAAGAAGGCCUUCGGGUUGUAAAGUACUUUCAGCGGGGAGGAAGGGAGUAAAGUUAAUACCUUUGCUCAUUGACGUUACCCGCAGAAGAAGCACCGGCUAACUCCGUGCCAGCAGCCGCGGUAAUACGGAGGGUGCAAGCGUUAAUCGGAAUUACUGGGCGUAAAGCGCACGCAGGCGGUUUGUUAAGUCAGAUGUGAAAUCCCCGGGCUCAACCUGGGAACUGCAUCUGAUACUGGCAAGCUUGAGUCUCGUAGAGGGGGGUAGAAUUCCAGGUGUAGCGGUGAAAUGCGUAGAGAUCUGGAGGAAUACCGGUGGCGAAGGCGGCCCCCUGGACGAAGACUGACGCUCAGGUGCGAAAGCGUGGGGAGCAAACAGGAUUAGAUACCCUGGUAGUCCACGCCGUAAACGAUGUCGACUUGGAGGUUGUGCCCUUGAGGCGUGGCUUCCGGAGCUAACGCGUUAAGUCGACCGCCUGGGGAGUACGGCCGCAAGGUUAAAACUCAAAUGAAUUGACGGGGGCCCGCACAAGCGGUGGAGCAUGUGGUUUAAUUCGAUGCAACGCGAAGAACCUUACCUGGUCUUGACAUCCACGGAAGUUUUCAGAGAUGAGAAUGUGCCUUCGGGAACCGUGAGACAGGUGCUGCAUGGCUGUCGUCAGCUCGUGUUGUGAAAUGUUGGGUUAAGUCCCGCAACGAGCGCAACCCUUAUCCUUUGUUGCCAGCGGUCCGGCCGGGAACUCAAAGGAGACUGCCAGUGAUAAACUGGAGGAAGGUGGGGAUGACGUCAAGUCAUCAUGGCCCUUACGACCAGGGCUACACACGUGCUACAAUGGCGCAUACAAAGAGAAGCGACCUCGCGAGAGCAAGCGGACCUCAUAAAGUGCGUCGUAGUCCGGAUUGGAGUCUGCAACUCGACUCCAUGAAGUCGGAAUCGCUAGUAAUCGUGGAUCAGAAUGCCACGGUGAAUACGUUCCCGGGCCUUGUACACACCGCCCGUCACACCAUGGGAGUGGGUUGCAAAAGAAGUAGGUAGCUUAACCUUCGGGAGGGCGCUUACCACUUUGUGAUUCAUGACUGGGGUGAAGUCGUAACAAGGUAACCGUAGGGGAACCUGCGGUUGGAUCACC